GACGAACGCUGGCGGCGUGCCUAAUACAUGCAAGUCGAGCGAAGUUUUUCUGGUGCUUGCACCGGAAAAACUUAGCGGCGAACGGGUGAGUAACACGUAAAGAACCUGCCUCAUAGACUGGGACAACUAUUGGAAACGAUAGCUAAUACCGGAUAACAGCAUUAACUGCAUGGUUGAUGUUUGAAAGUUGGUUUUGCUAACACUAUGAGAUGGCUUUGCGGUGCAUUAGCUAGUUGGUGGGGUAAAGGCCUACCAAGGCGACGAUGCAUAGCCGACCUGAGAGGGUGAUCGGCCACACUGGGACUGAGACACGGCCCAGACUCCUACGGGAGGCAGCAGUAGGGAAUCUUCCGCAAUGGGCGAAAGCCUGACGGAGCAACGCCGCGUGAGUGAAGAAGGAUUUCGGUUCGUAAAGCUCUGUUGUUAGGGAAGAAUGAUUGUGUAGUAACUAUACACAGUGGAGACGGUACCUAACCAGAAAGCCACGGCUAACUACGUGCCAGCAGCCGCGGUAAUACGUAGGUGGCAAGCGUUGUCCGGAAUUAUUGGGCGUAAAGCGCGCGCAGGUGGUUUAAUAAGUCUGAUGUGAAAGCCCACGGCUCAACCGUGGAGGGUCAUUGGAAACUGUUAAACUUGAGUGCAGGAGAGAAAAGUGGAAUUCCUAGUGUAGCGGUGAAAUGCGUAGAGAUUAGGAGGAACACCAGUGGCGAAGGCGGCUUUUUGGCCUGUAACUGACACUGAGGCGCGAAAGCGUGGGGAGCAAACAGG
rnacentral:rRNA from 1 species